GAUAAAAGAUUUAGCUGCUGUGUUUCAUGCGGAAUGCCUUUCAUACUGCCAAGAACUAUUAGAACUUCAGAGAAAAUGGGAGGAGGUUAGCUGCAAUCCGUUUUCCCAGUUUCACAUUAUUUGAUUACUUGUAUCUCAGCCAUUCAUUGACUUGACUGCUCCAGAGGAUUCAAGAAAGGACACCCUGCGGCCCUCCAAACGCACGAAAAAGCUGCGUUAAGGACGAGGGGGAAAAGCUGGCUCAGCCUGAAACUUUUGAUUGGUUCUUUGUACCCUGUUUUUGUUGUAAGUAUAACACUUAUGGAAAUUAUUGAAAAAAAACCUUCAAGCGUCAUGCAAUUCAUGUAACUGGCCUCGUCCAAUGAGAUAAGAUUUAUUAUUGUCGUAAAUUUUGUGCAUGAUUAAAAUAGCAGGGAAAGAAACCCAGAAAAUUGAGCUUUCUGCCCGUUUUAGGUUUGUC